rnacentral:misc_RNA from 1 species
AAGUCGUAACAAGGUUUCCGUAGGUGAACCUGCGGAAGGAUCAUUAUUUUAAAUAGAUUUAUUUUUUGUGAAUUUUGUGAAAUUUUAAAAAUAAUAUAGUAAAAUAUAAUAUUUUAUUAUUUCACAAUAAUGAAAAUUAUAGUCUUUUAAUAAUAUAAAUUUAUUAAAUAACUUUUAACAAUGGAUCUCUUGGCUCUU